rnacentral:rRNA from 1 species
CUGGCUCAGGAUGAACGCUAGCGGCAGGCUUAACACAUGCAAGUCGAGGGGCAGCGUGGAGCAGCAAUACUCUGACGGCGACCGGCGAAAGGGUGAGUAACGCGUGAGCAACAUGCCCGGUAGUGGAGAAUAGUCGAUGGAAACGUCGCGUAAUACUCCGUAACAUAGGAGACCGCAUGAUCUUCUAUUAAUAGAUUUAUCGCUACCGGAUUGGCUCGCGUACCAUUAGCUAGUUGGCGGGGUAACGGCCCACCAAGGCGACGAUGGUUAGGGGUUCUGAGAGGAAGGUCCCCCACAUUGGAACUGAGACACGGUCCAGACUCCUACGGGAGGCAGCAGUGAGGAAUAUUGGACAAUGGCCGAGAGGCUGAUCCAGCCAUGCCGCGUGCGGGGAAAGACGGCCCUAUGGGUUGUAAACCGCUUUUGUUGGGGAGCAAUAAGGUCCACGUGUGGAUCGAUGAGAGUACCCAGCGAAUAAGCAUCGGCUAACUCCGUGCCAGCAGCGGC